CGGCGAACGGGUGAGUAACACGUGAGUAAUCUGCCCCUGGCUUUGGGAUAGCCACCGGAAACGGUGAUUAAUACCGGAUACGACCACUUCUCGCAUGGGAUGGUGGUGGAAAGUUUUUCGGCCAGGGAUGUGCUCGCGGCCUAUCAGCUUGAUGGUGAGGUAAUGGCUCACCAUGGCUUCGACGGGUAGCCGGCCUGAGAGGGUGACCGGUCACACUGGGACUGAGACACGGCCCAGACUCCUACGGGAGGCAGCAGUGGGGAAUAUUGGACAAUGGGCGGAAGCCUGAUCCAGCAACGCCGCGUGAGGGAUGACGGCCUUCGGGUUGUAAACCUCUUUCAGCAGGGACGAAGCGCAAGUGACGGUACCUGCAGAAGAAGCACCGGCCAACUACGUGCCAGCAGCCGCGGUAAUACGUAGGGUGCGAGCGUUGUCCGGAAUUAUUGGGCGUAAAGGGCUCGUAGGCGGUUUGUCGCGUCGGGAGUGAAAACCAGGUGCUUAACACCUGGCUUGCUUUCGAUACGGGCAGACUAGAGGUAUUCAGGGGAGAACGGAAUUCCUGGUGUAGCGGUGAAAUGCGCAGAUAUCAGGAGGAACACCGGUGGCGAAGGCGGUUCUCUGGGAAUAUCCUGA
rnacentral:rRNA from 1 species